rnacentral:rRNA from 1 species
UACGUAGGGUGCGAGCGUUGUCCGGAAUUAUUGGGCGUAAAGGGCUCGUAGGCGGUUUGUCGCGUCGGGAGUGAAAUCCACUGGCUUAACUGGUGGCUUGCUUUCGAUACGGGCAGACUGGAGGUAUGCAGGGGAGAACGGAAUUCCUGGUGUAGCGGUGAAAUGCGUAGAUAUCAGGAGGAACACCGGUGGUGUAAACGGCUUUCUGGACCAUAACUGACGCUGAUGCACGAAAAGCGUGGGUAGCAAACAGG